rnacentral:rRNA from 1 species
UACGUAGGGUGCAAGCGUUAUCCGGAAUUAUUGGGCGUAAAGAGCUCGUAGGCGGUUUGUCGCGUCUGCUGUGAAAUCCCGAGGCUCAACUUCGGGCUUGCAGUGGGUACGGGCAGACUAGAGUGCGGUAGGGGAGAUUGGAAUUCCUGGUGUAGCGGUGGAAUGCGCAGAUAUCAGGAGGAACACCGAUGGCGAAGGCAGAUCUCUGGGCCGUAACUGACGCUGAGGAGCGAAAGGGUGGGGAGCAAACAGG